rnacentral:rRNA from 1 species
GAUGAACGCUGGCGGCGUGCCUAAUACAUGCAAGUCGAGCGAACGGACGAGAAGCUUGCUUCUCUGAUGUUAGCGGCGGACGGGUGAGUAACACGUGGAUAACCUACCUAUAAGACUGGGAUAACUUCGGGAAACCGGAGCUAAUACCGGAUAAUAUUUUGAACCGCAUGGUUCAAAAGUAAAAGACGGUCUUGCUGUCACUUAUAGAUGGAUCCGCGCUGCAUUAGCUAGUUGGUAAGGUAACGGCUUACCAAGGCAACGAUGCAUAGCCGACCUGAGAGGGUGAUCAGCCACACUGGAACUGAGACACGGUCCAGACUACUACAGGAGGCAGCAGUAGGGAAUCCUCCGCAAUGUGCGAAAGCCUGACGGAGCAACGCCGCGUGAGUGAUGAAGGUCUUCGGAUCGUAGAACUCUGUUAUUAGGGAAGAACAUAUGUGUAAGUAACUGUGCACAUCUUGAGGGUACCUAAUCAGAAAGCCACGGCUAACUGCGUG